rnacentral:rRNA from 1 species
GUGGUGCUUGUUCUUGGCAGUCGUGGUCGUCGGCAGGCCGUCCUGAGCUCCCCUGAUUGGGACUUCAAAGCGGGCGCAAGACCCAUGAGGACGGCUGUCGCGAUCAAUGGUUUGCCGAGAAGUCGAGUCGGGCUGUUUGAGAGUACAACCCAAAGCGGAUGGUAUAUCUCAUCUAAGGCUGAAUAUGACUACGAGACCGAUAGCGAACAAGUACCGCGAGGGAAAGUUGAAAAGAACUCUGAAGAGAGAGUUAAAAAGGACGUGAAACCGCUCAAAAGAAAACUGACGGAGCUGUCGUUGUCGGGCUGUCGGCAAUCAGUCGCUUUGUUUGUAGUCGAGUCCCCGUUGCUGCUAGUCAUUGUUGGUUAGUCCGGCUGGCUGCAGUGCAGGUGACAUGUCGAUCGGCUACGAGUGAUGCAUUUGUCGGCGGCUGGCGCCACGAGCAGCGCUUGGCAGUUGCGUGCAAUAGGUCCCACCGCUUUGCUAUGACGCGAGCGUCUUGGACAAUUGUUGUUUUGCAUCAGUUGGCCUUGGCGAUCGGUCGGCGGUUGUCUAACGGGGCUCAUGGCAACGGUUAUUGCCGACGCUGUUUGGUUAAUCAGUUGGCUACGGCUUGUGCUUCCCGGUCGGUCUGUUUGACCAGCCGGAGGCAUGCUUGCAUUGCUUCGGCAGCAGUUGGACAAGUGCGCCUGAGCGUUGAUCACUUGACUGGUCGUCCGAUUCUGUGGCUCUCUGGGUCAAGGUUGGCGAUCUGCUUGGUUGCGUUCAGAUGCGGCUGCUCGUUGUUUUGAAAUGUCGGCACCGGUCGUCAAUCUGUGGCGUUUUCGUGACGGCCACCCGUCGGACCCGUCUUGAAACACGGACCAAGGAGUGCAGCAGUUGCGCGAGUCAUUGACACGCUGACACGGUCAAGGGCGCAACGAAAGUGACCUGUUUAUGUUGUGUAGAGCUGGACGUCCGCAGACUGGGCGUUCGGCGCAUACAGGAGCCGUUCGAAUCCAAGUUGUCGGGUGCUUCUAGUCUUAACCGGCGCGUCCCCGGCAACGGAUGCAACGGAAUCGGAGCGCACAUGCUGCUACCCGAAAGAUGGUGAACUAUGCCUGAGCAGGAUGAAGCCAGAGGAAACUCUGGUGGAAGUUCGAAGCGGUGUUGACGUGCAAAUCACUCGCUUGACUUGUGCAUAGGGGCGAAAGACUAAUC